AUCCAGGCUAAUAGAACCAAGUGGACAGAAUGGGUUAUUGUUGUUUAUUAUUAUCCAGGCUAUUAGAACCAAGUGGACAGAAUGGGUUAUUGUUGUUUAUUAUUAUCCAGGCUAUUAGAACCAAGUGGGCAGAAUGGGUUAUUGUUGUUUAUUAUUAUCCAGGCUAUUAGAACCAAGUGGGCAGAAUGGGUUAUUAUUGUUUAUUAUUAUCCAGGCUAUUAGAACCAAGUGGGCAGAAUGGGUUAUUGUUGUUUAUUAUUAUCCAGGCUAUUAGAACCAAGUGGACAGAAUGGGUUAUUGUUGGUUAUUAUUAUCCAGGCUAUUAGAACCAAGUGGGCAGAAUGGGUUAUUGUUGGUUAUUAUUAUCCAGGCUAUUAGAACCAAGUGGACAGAAUGGGUUAUUGUUGUUUAUUAUUAUCCAGGCUAAUAGAACCAAGUGGACAGAAUGGGUUAUUGUUGUUUAUUAUUAUCCAGGCUAUUAGAACCAAGUGGACAGAAUGGGUUAUUGUUGGUUAUUAUUAUCCAGGCUAUUAGAACCAAGUGGACAGAAUGGGUUAUUGUUGGUUAUUAUUAUCCAGGCUAUUAGAACCAAGUGGACAGAAUGGGUUAUUGUUGGUUAUUAUUAUCCAGGCUAAUAGAACCAAGUGGACAGAAUGGGUUAUUGUUGUUUAUUAUUAUCCAGGCUAUUAGAACCAAGUGGACAGAAUGGGUUACUGUUGGUUAUUAUUAUCCAGG
rnacentral:lncRNA from 1 species